rnacentral:misc_RNA from 1 species
GUAGGUGAACCUGCGGAAGGAUCAUUAACGAGUAAGGGGCUUUGCGCCCCGGGGGCCUCGGCCCCGACUCCUCACCCUGUGCGUACCUACCUCUGUUGCUUUGGCGGGCCUCGGUUAACCCCGACGUCGGCCCGGGGGCGACCCCGGGCCCGCGAGUGCCCGCCGGAGGCCAGUCUUACUCUUGUUUAUCAGUGAAGUCUGAGGAAAUUCAAUAACUAAAACUUUCAACAACGGAUCUCUUGAUUCUG